GGGGCUGAUUCUGGAUUCGACGGGAUUUGCGAAACCCAAGGUGCAUGCCGAGGGGCGGUUGGCCUCGUAAAAAGCCGCAAAAAAUAGUCGCAAACGACGAAAACUACGCUUUAGCAGCUUAAUAACCUGCUUAGAGCCCUCUCUCCCUAGCCUCCGCUCUUAGGACGGGGAUCAAGAGAGGUCAAACCCAAAAGAGAUCGCGUGGAAGCCCUGCCUGGGGUUGAAGCGUUAAAACUUAAUCAGGCUAGUUUGUUAGUGGCGUGUCCGUCCGCAGCUGGCAAGCGAAUGUAAAGACUGACUAAGCAUGUAGUACCGAGGAUGUAGGAAUUUCGGACGCGGGUUCAACUCCCGCCAGCCCACCA
rnacentral:tmRNA from 1 species